rnacentral:lncRNA from 1 species
UUAGUAUUUACGGGUUGGAGGUAAGCUUCUUUAGACUUUAUUAUAUAUGAGUUGAGAUGAGGUUGGUGUCCUGAUGGUUAUAAUCUUAUAAUAUUUUGGCUACAUAGAAUAAAACACUCUGUAUUUAUUUUUGUGGUCACUAAACGUGUGAGAUAAAUAGUUUCUCUUUCUUUCAUGUGUAAAUAUGUUUGUGGCAAAUAAGUAUGUGAUGUGAGCUUUUGUUACAUGAUUGAUUGUAAAUAAUAAUGAUUCAUUUAUGUCCAUAACUAAAAACGUAAGUUUUCGUCACGUCAUCUUUAGUUUCUUUUCUCACUGGUAACUUGCAC